rnacentral:rRNA from 1 species
UGAGGAAUAUUGGGCAAUGGAGGCAACUCUGACCCAGCCAUGCCGCGUGAGUGAAGAAGGUUUUCGGAUUGUAAAGCUCUUUCGGAUGUGACGAUAAUGACGGUAGCAUCUAAAGAAGCCCCGGCUAACUUCGUGCCAGCAGCCGCGGUAAUACGAAGGGGGCAAGCGUUGUUCGGAAUUACUGGGCGUAAAGGGAGUGUAGGUUGUUUGAUAAGAUAGUGGUGAAAUCCCGGGGCUCAACCUCGGAACUGCCAUUAUAACUAUCAAGCUUGAAUUAUAGAGAGGAUAGUGGAAUACCCGGUGUAGAGGUGAAAUUCGUAGAUAUUGGGUAGAACACCGGUGGCGAAGGCGACUAUCUGGCUAUAUAUUGACACUGAGGCUCGAAAGCAUGGGGAUCAAACA